rnacentral:lncRNA from 1 species
AGAAACCCGCUGCUCUUCCCACUGCUCUUCAUCGUCGAAUUUCUAGGCUAAAAAAGGAAAAACAAGAAUUCAAAUUGGCUGACCUAACACAUAUAAUACUCUUUUUUAUCCAUCCAAAAAUCGGACCGAUCAUCUUUACCUGUAAAAUGAACUCGUAUAAUUUUCCCCAAAAUCAUUUCCUUUUUCCCUUCAAACCAGAAAGCAAGAGAAACCCGCUGCUCUUCCCAUCGCCCUUCAUCGCUGAAUUUCUGGGCCAACAAAGGAAAAACAAGCACAGGUUCAUCUAUUCCAAAACAUCCUUCUAACUUAGUGUGAGGCAGGCUACCGAAACCGAAGGUGGAAAUAGAUGAUGG